rnacentral:rRNA from 1 species
AAAGCGUUGGGGAGCGAACAGGAUUAGAUACCCUGGUAGUCCACGCCGUAAACGAUGAAUGCUAAGUGUUAGGGGGUUUUCCCCCCUUAGUGCUGCAGCUAACGCAUUAAGCACUCCGCCUGGGGAGUACGGUCGCAAGACUGAAACUCAAAGGAAUUGACGGGGGCCCGCACAAGCGGUGGAGCAUGUGGUUUAAUUUCGAAGCAACGCGAAGAACCUUACCAGGUCUUGACAUCCUCUGACAAUCCUAGAGAUAGGACGUCCCCUUCGGGGGCAGAGUGACAGGUGGUGCAUGGUUGUCGUCAGCUCGUGUCGUGAGAUGUUGGGUUAAGUCCCGCAACGAGCGCAACCCUUGAUCUUAGUUGCCAGCAUUCAGUUGGGCACUCUAAGGUGACUGCCGGUGACAAAC